rnacentral:miRNA from 1 species
CUCACUCAGUUCUCUUUC